AGCGGGAGCUGAGCGGCGGGACCGCUCGACUCAAAGCGGCGGCGGCAUCGGCGUUCCGUGUUCGGCUGCGCCGUCCUCAUGCCGCGGAUAAAAGACGUAAUCCUGGGAGGAUCCCGAGGGGACGAUCCAGGCACCUAGCGCUGAUUACGCCGGACGAGGAGGAGGAGGGAGGAGGAGCUGCUGCUGCAUCAUCCCUCCUUUGGGUCGCCGCCAAAAAUUUGACAGUUAGGACGUAACGCUUCACAUGGGGCCAAAGUCAAACUCGCUGCAAGAGCAUGGACGUCACCGGCUGGUCGCACCAACUUAGGUCUCUGUCAGCACGACAGCAAAGAGCAAAUGUUUGCAGCCAAAGGUAUCAAAUUGCCAGUAGAGGCCACAAGAUGGCGCCAGAGCAUUACUUUUUCUAUUCAACCGGGGUGACGGCUUGUCUGAAACUCCUCUGCUCACAUCAACAUAGCGCGCUGGCAGCAAAGUGGCGCCAAAGCAAUACUUUUAUAGGAGACUUCCGAAGUCGGCUAGAGCAUCAAACGAGGGGAAAUGUCAAACGCGGCGAGGAGUCUCUGGAUACACUCUAUCACCACGUGGCUAUUUUGAUCCCAUGCGGCAGGUGGUCGGUCGGUCGGUCGGUCGGCCGCGCGUGGCGACACUCGCUUACCUCCAGAAGUGAAAGGCGUGCAGCGGGCUACACGGACUGCAAGGACUAGUGGGAGUGGGGCUCAAACUUCGGGGCGUGAGGCUGCAAGUUAAACGGAGCAAAGUGAAACGGAGAUGUUUUAGCACACACACACACACCGAAGCGCUAUCUAAAAUCGGACACGUGCACUCGGCCGAGGCGUUUGUCUCUCUUCUGGAGCCAGAUAAAUGGCUUUGACAUUGCGUCUCCUCUGUCGUACAAGAGAGCGGAGGGGAGAAAAAAAAAAAAAAAAAAGACGUCACACCGUGUCGCUGCAGUGCUGAGGUCACGCUGAGGUGAGCGGAUUUUACUGCAGUGGCUUUAGGAGCUCAUUAGCAUCAGUUUAUGCCUGCAGGAAAAUGCCUCAAAGCCUCAUUUGGCAUCUUUUGUAACAAGUUGAAGGGGUGUAACAAGUAACAACGCAAAACGUCCAAUUGGAAAACAUUCAAAGGUUUGUCAUCUUAGCAAACAAAUUAAGCCUUUUUUGGACUAAUAGCUCUCACUCUUUUUAUUGAAGAAGAUAAUAAUAAUGACCUCCAGAUGGAGUUCCUUUCCCUUUCACUGAUGAUUCAUCCACAUAUUCGCAUGCAUCCCGACCCAGUUGCUUGCAUAAGAGGAUACUGGAACUUCCCUCCAGAAACAAACAACACUCACUGGAAUUUUGACUAGGUUAGCGAAAGACUAUGACGCAGUGUCCCGUGACUCAACUGCGUCGUGAUCCAUGGACCACCUGUGCUAUGGAUACCUGCUGUUGCCGUGUCGAUACGGUCUCGCGAGAUAAUACGAUACUGCGUGUCGCAGCCUGAUUUGAACUAGUUGACCGUGCGUGUGUACGGUAAUCCUAUUAACGCGGAAAGUGAAAUAACCUUGACGGUGUGUCCGUGGAAAAACAGCCCACACAUUACAAGUGCAGAAAGAACUGCAUCCAAGAAAUAUCCUCCCCCCCCCAGCCCCCCAUUGGGGAUUAGAAACGGUGGAGACAACAGAAGGGGGACAAACGCCUCAACGAUGCCGACAAAAGGACGGCGGGGAGCGACCACCGUAGCCGCUCGCGCGCUAACACCGAGGUCGUUUGGAACGUUUACAUUGCGGCAUGGGGCAUCGCGCGCGCACACGUGCAGCAAGCACACAAACACGAGCCCGUGCAGGCAGGCAGGCAGGCAGAAGAUAAGAGACUUCCUGCUGCGGAGGCUAAAGCUAGCAAAGCAGCAUACUCACUCGAGCGUCAGACCAGGAAUUCGCAGCCGUUCCCGUUGGGCUUUCAUGGCUGCGCUUUUGCUCUAUUGUGAUCAUCAUAAGCGCUCCCUGCUUGGCUGCAACGCAUGCAUGCCGUCAGCCAGACCAGCCCCCCGCCCCCCUCCCUCCCUCUGCUCGCUCCCCCUCGCACACGGACAAAGAGCAGUCAAAACAGUCCGAUGAAACGACGAGGGCAACAAAAAAAAAAAAAAAAACACUCCCUAAAAUUAGAGGGGCUUCAAAAGAAAAAGACCCCACUCCGGGGCUUUUAGCGGUUGUUGUUUUGGUCCUUCCACCUUGAAGCUGUCAAACAAGACCCUCGGCUGCCUGCGGAGGGACAAUAGCCCCGCCCUCCCGUGCCUUCAUAAUCGACUGCGCCCCCCCCUAGCCCCCCUCUUUUGACCGCCCCCCAACAGCAAGUAACACCACCACCUGGUGACGAGGUGCAAUGACUGAUUAUUUUAGGAAAUAUUUAUUUUUUUUGUAUUCUGAUACAUCAUACUGACGUCCUAUAAAUGGGAAUCGUUUUUUUUAAAUGUGUUUUCUACACACAGUUGGGUCUCUGUAACGCUUAAAAUGGGGAUUUUUUUUUCUUCAAAUAGUGAUUGCCCCCCCCCCAACCACUCAAAAAUAAUAGUGACACUUUCAUCCACGUUCAACCAUAGCAGUUCCUCAAUCUAAAUGCAUUUGAGGCCGCCUCAUCAAAGACCUGACACCAUCGCCAUGGUUACCGAGGUCAUUGGCGGCUGCGGCAACCUGUUUGCACAAGGAAUAUUUGUCCAGGAGGUAGGUGGCACCCAAACGGUGUCGCUGGACCAAAGUCCUUUGUGAUUCAAAAUUGAUGUUCAAAAAAAAAAAAAAAAAAUGUAUGCGUAAUAGAAAGAACUACAAUUAUGGUGGA